UGAUGCACUAGCGCUGUUUGUGUACGAGAGGAGUUUGAAACCGUCAGUUGGGGCCACAGAUUUGGGUCAGUGACAGGCUUUUUAUUUAUUUUUUUACAACCAUUUGCUGUCAAUGUGUAUUUGACGCUAUUGAAGAAUUUGCGACCUCACGGUGAUUUUUGUUUUGUUUUUGGAGAUGGGACAGACUUAGACUAUAAAUAGCCUAGUUAAAAAUAACUUUCUUUGAUUUUACAUUGAAUGAAUCAUGGACUUUUUAAAGUAAGGAAUAAUUUCAACACAGGUUAUAUUUGAUUUGUCCUCUCUUAACCCUCCAUAUAAUUGAGCAAAUAAAACAUUGGCUAAGCCAAUCACGGACUACACUGCUAUUCUCCGGCACUGUUCGAGAAUAACAGUAGCGCUGUCGUUUGCAACAAAAACAUUGAAAAGAGGAGAAAUCAUUAUUCGGGUUUGGUCACGUUUUUGAGGUGCAAUUCAUAAACUAAGAAGAAUAGGCCAGGAGUGUGAGGUGAUUUAUUUAACCAGCGCAAGGAACCAUCUGGUGAUUGCAUCGCCAAGUUUACACUCCUGCGUGCGCGUACGUACUAUCCCUAAACUCCAGUGGAAGGGAGGAGUAGAAGGUGUAGCAGCACAGUUGCAGUGGCCCUCUGAUAAAUGUCUACCUGCGCUGAAGUUUUUAUGGGUCUUUCUCUUCAGCCAAAGAGAUGGAAUAGCUGACUGUCCUGGCUGGAUCGUUCACACCAAACUGAUGGAGGGAGGUAGUCCAUCACUUGAACAGAAUCUCGUAUCUCUCCCAGGAGUUAUGGCCUAGCACUGGAUGAGCAUAUCAGCAUCGGGGCUCGGGGCUUGCUUGGUGCCGGAGGAGAGAGAUGUAAAGACUGUUCUGCUCUGCAAGAUAUUUUAAAAGUGCUCCUCUCUCCGCCUUCACAAAUGACAAGAUGGCCAGACUCUGACAUCUUGUUAGUGAGAGUAUUGGUCCUCGAUCCGAGAUACAGACUGUGUCCCAAAUGACAUCCUGUUCCCUAUCAGAGUAUCUCUACUAUAUUAUAGUGCACUACUUUUGAUGGCCCUCAUCAAAAGUAGUGCACUAUAUGGGAAUAGGGUGCUAUUGACGAUGCAUCCCAUGUCUUUGGGUUUAGCGUGCCCUCAUAUUACUUUUCCAAUUAUAUCAGAUGGAAAAACAGACUGGUUUUCUUAUACUGUACUGAUCUAAAAAUAUAGCUAAGUGGAAAGAGGAACAAUUGGUUCAGUCUGAUUUCCACCAGACACUGGGAGACGAAUUCACCUUUCAGCAGGGCAAUUACGGAAAACACAAGGCCAAAUAUACACUGGAGUUGCUUACCAAGACCACAUGGAAUGUGAAUGUGGCCUAGUUACAGUUUUGACCUAAAUCAGCUUGAAACUCUAUGGCAGACUUUAAAAUUCUGUCUAGCAAUGAUCAACAACUAACUUGA